UAAUUGCAAUAACAGCAGUAGUUAUACAUAGAACCUACUGGAUUAGUCAAGACCACUUCAGUUUUGAGCAAUAGAAAACCCAAACUGGCUUAUGUAAAUAAAAAAAAAUUUGGUUUGUGUGUUCAUUCCUAAAAAUAGCAGGGGUUAUGGCAUGACUGGAUCCAGGAGCUCCAAAGACAUCAUCAGCAUUCUGUGUCCUGCUCCACCUCCUGGCUCCGCUGUCUUCUGACAUCAUUCUUAAGUAGUAAAAAUGGCCUCUCGCAGCUCCAAGCUAAUGAUCUCAGCAAAGAGCAAGCACCUCUUUCCUGACUGUUCCAGAAACUUCAGGACACUGUUACAAGGACCAGUCCAACUUGGGUCUCAUGCCCAGGCAUGAGCCAAUAUUUGAGAUGGGGAAAGUGGUCAGAGAGGCCAAGUACCUUGCCAGUAUCACAUACGAGCCAGUGGGGGAAUCAAGGAACAUGAACUCUUCGCUACCGGACGGAGGGGGAAAAACAAGGGCCACACAAAGGUGAGGAACACGGCUAUAACUCAUCUUGACCGUCCCUCCUGGCCACGACGUUCUUGAGCACAAGAGUCCACGAGCUCCCAACCCAAGCAGUCCGAGGUCAUUUAUUAAGGAACACCCAGAUACCUGUGCUACGUAACUGCCCUACUCGUGUUCCCCGUGCCAGCCGCA